AUGACGUCAAUCAUCAUGCCCCUUAUGACCUGGGCUACACACGUGCUACAAUGGCUGGUACAACGAGUCGCAAGUCGGUGACGGCAAGCUAAUCUCUUAAAGCCAGUCUCAGUUCGGAUUGUAGGCUGCAACUCGCCUACAUGAAGUCGGAAUCGCUAGUAAUCGCGGAUCAGCACGCCGCGGUGAAUACGUUCCCGGGCCUUGUACACACCGCCCGUCACACCACGAGAGUUUGUAACACCCGAAGUCGGU
rnacentral:rRNA from 1 species